rnacentral:rRNA from 1 species
AACGAACGCUGGCGGCAUGCCUAACACAUGCAAGUCGAACGAGACCUUCGGGUCUAGUGCGCACGGGUGCGUAACGCGUGGGAACCUGCCCUUAGGUUCGGAAUAACUCCCCGAAAGGGGUGCUAAUACCGGAUAAUGUCUUCGGACUAAAGAUUUAUCGCCUUUGGAUGGGCCCGCGUUGGAUUAGCUAGUUGGUAGGGUAAAAGCCUACCAAGGCGACGAUCCAUAGCUGGUCUGAGAGGAUGAUCAGCCACACUGGGACUGAGACACGGCCCAGACUCCUACGGGAGGCAGCAGUGGGGAAUAUUGGACAAUGGGCGAAAGCCUGAUCCAGCAAUGCCGCGUGAGUGAUGAAGGCCUUAGGGUUGUAAAGCUCUUUUACCCGGGAUGAUAAUGACAGUACCGGGAGAAUAAGCUCCGGCUAACUCCGUG